UAUGAUGGCGACCGGCGCACGGGUGAGUAACGCGUAUCCAACCUACCCAUUACUAGGGAAUAACCCAGCGAAAGUUGGCCUAAUGCCCUAUGUAGUCGUUUGAUCGCCUGAGAUUUCGACGAAAGAUUUAUCGGUAUUGGAUGGGGAUGCGUCUGAUUAGCUUGUUGGCGGGGUAAAGGCCCACCAAGGCAACGAUCAGUAGGGGUUCUGAGAGGAAGGUCCCCCACAUUGGAACUGAGACACGGUCCAAACUCCUACGGGAGGCAGCAGUGAGGAAUAUUGGUCAAUGGGCGAGAGCCUGAACCAGCCAAGUAGCGUGCAGGAUGACGGCCCUAUGGGUUGUAAACUGCUUUUAUAUGGGAAUAAAGUGAGGGACGUGUCCCUUAUUGCAUGUACCAUACGAAUAAGGACCGGCUAAUUCCGUGCCAGCAGCCGCGGUAAUACGGAAGGUCCAGGCGUUAUCCGGAUUUAUUGGGUUUAAAGGGAGCGUAGGCUGUUUGUUAAGCGUGUUGUGAAAUGUAGGAGCUCAACUUUUAGAUUGCAGCGCGAACUGGCAGACUUGAGUGCGCACAACGUAGGCGGAAUUCAUGGUGUAGCGGUGAAAUGCUUAGAUAUCAUGACGAACUCCGAUUGCGAAGGCAGCUUACGGGAGCGCAACUGACGCUAAAGCUCGA
rnacentral:rRNA from 1 species